rnacentral:rRNA from 1 species
GAUGAACGCUGGCGGCGUGCUUAACACAUGCAAGUCGAACGGAGUUGUUUCGCUGACGAGACUUCGGUCAAAUCUUGAAACAACUUAGUGGCGGACGGGUGAGUAACGCGUGGGUAACCUGCCAUAUACAGGGGGAUAACACUUAGAAAUAGGUGCUAAUACCGCAUAAGCGCACAGAGCUGCAUGGCUCGGUGUGAAAAACUCCGGUGGUAUAUGAUGGACCCGCGUCUGAUUAGCUAGUUGGUGAGGUAACGGCCCACCAAGGCGACGAUCAGUAGCCGGCCUGAGAGGGUGACCGGCCACAUUGGGACUGAGACACGGCCCAAACUCCUACGGGAGGCAGCAGUGGGGAAUAUUGCACAAUGGGGGAAACCCUGAUGCAGCGACGCCGCGUGAGUGAAGAAGUAUUUCGGUAUGUAAAGCUCUAUCAGCAGGGAAGAAAAUGACGGUACCUGACUAAGAAGCCCCGGCUAACUACGUGCCAGCAGCCG